GCGCCAGUGGCGAAACUGGUAGACGCGCUGGAUUUAGGUUCCAGUCCUUUGCAGGGUGUGGGUUCAAGUCCCUCCUGGCGCACCA
rnacentral:tRNA from 1 species